UAGUGGCGAACGGGUGAGUAACACGUGGGCAAUCUGCCCUGCACUCUGGGACAAGCCCUGGAAACGGGGUCUAAUACCGGAUAAUACUUCGGGCCUCAUGGUCUGUGGUUAAAAGCUCCGGCGGUGCAGGAUGAGCCCGCGGCCUAUCAGCUUGUUGGUGAGGUAAUGGCUCACCAAGGCGACGACGGGUAGCCGGCCUGAGAGGGCGACCGGCCACACUGGGACUGAGACACGGCCCAGACUCCUACGGGAGGCAGCAGUGGGGAAUAUUGCACAAUGGGCGAAAGCCUGAUGCAGCGACGCCGCGUGAGGGAUGACGGCCUUCGGGUUGUAAACCUCUUUCAGCAGGGAAGAAGCGCAAGUGACGGUACCUGCAGAAGAAGCGCCGGCUAACUACGUGCCAGCAGCCGCGGUAAUACGUAGGGCGCAAGCGUUGUCCGGAAUUAUUGGGCGUAAAGAGCUCGUAGGCGGCUUGUCACGUCGGGUGUGAAAGCCCGGGGCUUAACCCCGGGUCUGCAUUCGAUACGGGCUAGCUAGAGUGUGGUAGGGGAGAUCGGAAUUCCU
rnacentral:rRNA from 1 species